GGUUAUGGCUCAGUGGCAGAGUGCUUGUCUAGCACAUGUGAGGCACUGGGUUCGAUCCUCAGCACCA
rnacentral:tRNA from 1 species